AAAAAAAAAAAAAGUAAUUAGACGAAUCUAUAAAAAAAAUAGUCAAUGCAAUGAAUGUAACGUUGUAUUCAAUCUAAAAGAUAAAAAAAAAAAAAAAAGUAUGGUUAUGUAGUGAAUGCAUUUGUUUGUUCCGUGUAACGACUAAUUAGAUCUUGUGGCAAACCACAAUUAGAGUCCAUCCACAUAUCGUUUGUCUCCGUCGUUCUGAAUAGAAAUAAGUCAAUUAUGUACAUUCUCUUAUCACUGAGCUUGAUAAGUCUGAGUUGCG
rnacentral:lncRNA from 1 species